rnacentral:tRNA from 1 species
GCGAGGAUGGCGGAACUGGUAGACGCGCUAGACUUAGGAUCUAGUAGGGAAACCUGUGGGGGUUCGACUCCCCCUUCUCGCA